UGGAUCCAGACUUUGAUCAUGGCUCAGGACGAACGCUGGCGGCGCGCCUAACACAUGCAAGUCGAACGAGAGAGAGGGAGCUUGCUUCCUCGAUCGAGUGGCGAACGGGUGAGUAACGCGUGAGGAACCUGCCUCAAAGAGGGGGACAACAGUUGGAAACGACUGCUAAUACCGCAUAAGCCCACGGCUCGGCAUCGAGCAGAGGGAAAAGGAGCAAUCCGCUUUGAGAUGGCCUCGCGUCCGAUUAGCUAGUUGGUGAGGUAACGGCCCACCAAGGCGACGAUCGGUAGCCGGACUGAGAGGUUGAACGGCCACAUUGGGACUGAGACACGGCCCAGACUCCUACGGGAGGCAGCAGUGGGGAAUAUUGCACAAUGGGGGAAACCCUGAUGCAGCGACGCCGCGUGGAGGAAGAAGGUCUUCGGAUUGUAAACUCCUGUUGUUGAGGAAGAUAAUGACGGUACUCAACAAGGAAGUGACGGCUAACUACGUGCCAGCAGCCGCGGUAAAACGUAGGUCACAAGCGUUGUCCGGAAUUACUGGGUGUAAAGGGAGCGCAGGCGGGAGAUCAAGUUGGAAGUGAAAUCCAUGGGCUCAACCCAUGAACUGCUUUCAAAACUGAUUGUCUUGAGUAGUGCAGAGGUAGGCGGAAUUCCCGGUGUAGCGGUGGAAUGCGUAGAUAUCGGGAGGAACACCAGUGGCGAAGGCGGCCUACUGGGCACCAACUGACGCUGAGGCUCGAAAGUGUGGGUAGCAAACAGGAUUAGAUACCCUGGUAGUCCACACCGUAAACGAUGAUUACUAGGUGUUGGAGGAUUGACCCCUUCAGUGCCGCAGUUAACACAAUAAGUAAUCCACCUGGGGAGUACGACCGCAAGGUUGCAACUCAAAGGAAUUGACGGAA
rnacentral:rRNA from 1 species